CCUACGGGAGGCAGCAGUGGGGAAUAUUGCACAAUGGGGGAAACCCUGAUGCAGCGACGCCGCGUGAGUGAAGAAGUAUUUCGGUAUGUAAAGCUCUAUCAGCAGGGAAGAAAAUGACGGUACCUGAGUAAGAAGCCCCGGCUAACUACGUGCCAGCAGCCGCGGUAAUACGUAGGGGGCAAGCGUGAUCCGGAUUUACGGGGGGUAAAGGGAGCGUAGAGGGAGAGGCAAGUCAGACGUGAAAGCCCGGGGCUCAACUCCGGGACUGCUUGUGAAACUGGGUGGCUGGAGUGCAGGAGCGGUCAGCGGACUUCCUGGUGUAGCGGUGAAAUGCGUAGAUAUCAGGAGGAACCCCAGUGGCGAAGGCGGAUUACGGGACUGUCACUGACGUUGCGUCUCGAAAGCGUGGGGAGCAAACAGGAUUAGAUACCGUAGUC
rnacentral:rRNA from 1 species